rnacentral:lncRNA from 1 species
CGGGCCUGUGUCAUCCACCAGGAAUUUCUGUUUUCCCCUCCGCGGGGCUGGAAGAAAAAACAAUAAUUAGGUCACUGGGCAGGCGGCAGAGAGGGUGUGGGACAGGCCAGUGGCGCCCUGUUGGGCAGGGAAAGGGUUUGGGAGGACGGCGGGGAGGGGAGGGCCCCGCAGCGCUCUCCUUCCUGCCCUCCCCAGCCUCCCUCGGGUGCAAGCAGAGGCAGCCCUGACCGUCCCAGACAGGGCACACGGCAAGGACUGAAAGCACAGCAGAAAAGCAUCGCAUGAACUUUCAAUGUGAAGGACGGGAUGCCAGGACAGGGGCACCUGCCUGAGUCAUUUGGAGGAUGAGCCGUGAGACUGGGAAGGUGGACAGCAUCGGAUAGGGAGAACUGACGGUAAAGUGAAGGCUGAAACCAGCCCCUAGUGGCAAAGCAUGGAAACAGAAAACUUCACAGCAGAGACCAUCCUUUCACUUCCCGUCGACAUCCUACUGGAAGUUUCCUUAAUAAAAAUAUUCCCAC